rnacentral:lncRNA from 1 species
GUUCCUUUGCUCCACUCUUACCAACCUUUGCUCUGAUUUGUGCCAUGAGGACUAGAAACCUGGAAACCUACGUUUCCCAGCUACUCCAUCUCCCCACACCGCAGGCUUUCUGUUAUGUUCUGAUGAUGCAGUUGAAAGUCAAAUGCCAGAAGAUUGCGGGUAGGAGGCAGGAAUAGCUUACAGCUCUCACUCAGAUGGAUGGAGCAGCACGUGGAGACUCAUGUUAUCAACUUUUGCUCCAAGAACUACUGCAGGAACAUAUCAGGAAAGCCAAGAGAAUCCACAGACCCUUUGAAGGAACUGUACCACCCCUGCAGACUCCCUGAGAUGCCAAAAACUGUGAAUCUGCUUGCUUUCUCAACUGGGAGGCUCAUGGUCUGGGCUUAACUCCCACUUAUAAGUGAAAAUACGUAAUGGUCUCC